GUCCCAGUUCGGAUUGUAGUCUGNAACCCGACUACAUGAAGCUGGAAUCGCUAGUAAUCGCGGAUCAGAAUGCCGCGGUGAAUACGUUCCCGGGUCUUGUACACACCGCCCGUCACACCAUGGGAGUCGGAAAUGCCCGAAGUCAGUGACCCAACCGUAAGGAGGGAGCUGCCGAAGGUGGAGCCGGUAACUGGGGUGAAGUCGUAACAAGGUAGC
rnacentral:rRNA from 1 species